rnacentral:rRNA from 1 species
AUUGAACGCUGGCGGCAGGCCUAACACAUGCAAGUCGAACGAGUGGGGACGGGUGAGUAACACGUGGGUAACCUCCCAUCAGAGGGGAUAACACUUGGAAACAGGUGCUAAACCGAUACCGAUGGAUGGACCCGCGGUGCAUUAGCUAGUGGGGGAGGUAACGGCUCACCAAGGCCACGAUGCAUAGCCGACCUGGGAGGGUGAGCGGCCACACUGGGACUGAGACACGGCCAAUACUCCUAGGGGAGGCAGCGGUAGGGAAUCUUAGGGAAUGGACGAAAGUCUGACCGAGCAACGCCGCGUGAGUGAAGAGGGUGUUCGGAUCGUAAAACUCUGUUGUUAGAGGAGCGGUAUCUAACCAGAAGACCACGGCUAACUACGGGCCAGCAGCCGCGGUAAUAC